AUCUUUCCGAAGGGGAGCCCCGUUCAAGGGGCUGAGAGGCCGGUCACAGGCGCCGGCGACCCUUGGAACCUGAUCCGGGUCAUUCCGGCGAAGGGAUCGGAACCCAUCGGUGC
rnacentral:ncRNA from 2 species